AUGCCCUAUCGAGCAUCUUAUCCCAUCUUAAAGUUGGUUUAUUCGGCAGCCGCAAAUGCUACUCAUUAUAGGGAUUUCGACAAAGCGUUGAGCUAA
rnacentral:rRNA from 1 species